ACAUCAUUGGUUCAGUGGUAGAAUGCUCGCCUGCCUUGCGGGUGGCCCGAUUCGAUUCCCGGGCGAUACA